rnacentral:rRNA from 1 species
UACGUAGGUGGCAAGCGUUGUCCGGAUUUACUGGGCGUAAAGCGCACGUAGGCGGCUUUGUAAGUUAGAGGUGAAAGCCCGGGGCUCAACUCCGGAAUUGCCUUUAAGACUGCAUCGCUAGAAUUGUGGAGAGGUAAGUGGAAUUCCGAGUGUAGAGGUGAAAUUCGUAGAUAUUCGGAAGAACACCAGUGGCGAAGGCGACUUACUGGACACAUAUUGACGCUGAGGUGCGAAAGCGUGGGGAGCAAACAGG